rnacentral:tRNA from 1 species
GGGCCUGUAGCCUAGCGGAAAAGGCGGCAGCCUUCGGAGCUGCAGAUCAAGGGUUCAAAUCCCUUCAGGCCCG